GAAUUUGUAAGUGGUCAGCCUGGGGACAGUGAGACUGGAGAUGCGCGGUCACGAGACUACUCCAUUUUUUUCUUUCAGCCUUUGAAUGAAUACAACGUUGCCUGGUUGGAAUAUUAUCGCUAUUUUACGAGAAGAAUAGCAUAAAAAUUGAUUUUAAACAGCGUUUGACAUGCUUCUAAGUACGGUAAUGGAAUAUUUAGAAUUUUUUGUCACGAAAUGAGAUCGCGCAUCACCCUUCGGAUAGUGACCUGAACGCACGAACAAAACGGAGCUAUUUGAAUAUAACUAUGGAUUAUUUGGAACCAAAACAACAUUUGUUGUAGAAGUCCUGGGAGUGCAUUCUGACGAAGAACAUCAAAGGUGUGCUGGAGUCAGUGCAGAUCCCUACCAGCGGCAACUCAUUCAAUAACCAAGACCUCUACAAAUACUCAGUCCU
rnacentral:lncRNA from 1 species